rnacentral:rRNA from 1 species
CCUACGGGAGGCAGCAGUGGGGAAUUUUGGACAAUGGGCGAAAGCCUGAUCCAGCCAUUCCGCGUGAGUGAAGAAGGCCUUCGGGUUGUAAAGCUCUUUCGCAAGGGAAGAAACGAUGCAGUCGAAUAAACUGUGUUAAUGACGGUACCUUGAUAAGAAGCACCGGCUAACUACGUGCCAGCAGCCGCGGUAAUACGUAGGGUGCAAGCGUUAAUCGGAAUUACUGGGCGUAAAGUGUGCGCAGGCGGUUUUGUAAGUCAGAUGUGAAAUCCCCGAGCUCAACUUGGGAACUGCGUUUGAAACUACAAGACUAGAAUAUGUCAGAGGGGGGUAGAAUUCCACGUGUAGCAGUGAAAUGCGUAGAGAUGUGGAGGAAUACCAAUGGCGAAGGCAGCCCCCUGGGAUAAUAUUGACGCUCAUGCACGAAAGCGUGGGGAGCAAACAGGAUUAGAUACCCUGGUAGUCCACGCCCUAAACGAUGUCUACUAGUUGUUGGUGGAGUAAAAUCCAUGAGUAACGCAGCUAACGCGUGAAGUAGACCGCCUGGGGAGUACGGUCGCAAGAUUAAAACUCAAAGGAAAUUGACGG